rnacentral:rRNA from 1 species
GAUGAACGCUAGCGGCAGGCCUAAUACAUGCAAGCCGGACGGCAAGUUGAGUAGCAAUACUUGACCUAGAGUGGCGUAAGGGUGCGUAACACGUAUGCAAUCUGCCCACAGCCGGGGAGAUAGCCCUCCGAAAGGAGGAUUAAUAUCCCAUAGGAAGAUGAGAUGGCAUCAUUUUAUUUUUAAACUACGGGGCUGUGGAUGAGCAUGCGGUUGAUUAGCUAGUUGGCGGGGUAAAGGCCCACCAAGGCGAUGAUCAAUAGGGGACCUGAGAGGGUGAUCCCCACACUGGCACUGAGAUACGGGCCAGGACUCCUACGGGAGGCAGCAGUAGGGAAUAUUGGACAAUGGGUGUAAGCCUGAUCCAGCCAUGCCGCGUGCAGGAAGAAGGCCCUUCUGGGUUGUAAACUGCUUUUGCCAGGGGAUAAAAUUUCCAUGCGUGGAAAACUGAAGGUACCUGGUGAAUAAGCCACGGCUAAACUACGUGCCAGCAGCCGCGGUAU